rnacentral:rRNA from 1 species
UACGAAGGGGGCUAGCGUUGCUCGGAAUCACUGGGCGUAAAGGGUGCGUAGGCGGCGCGGUAAGUCGGGUGUGAAAUCUUGGAGCUUAACUCCGAAACUGCAUUCGAUACUGCCGUGCUUGAGGACUGGAGGGGAGACUGGAAUUUACGGUGUAGCGGUGAAAUGCGUAGAUAUCGUAAGGAAGACCAGUGGCGAAGGCGGGUCUCUGGACAGUUCCUGACGCUGAGGCACGAAGGCCAGGGGAGCAAACGGG